CGUAAUUUUUCGUUAGGUAUUUGAUCCCUACAGAACCUAUCACUAAAAUACCGGAUGAGUGGGAGAGUGGAGGGGCCGGCGGCGGCUGUCGGGACUCGGGAGGCUCGCCGGGACGGCAGCAAGGUGGCGGCCCGGUGUGUGAAGCGGCGGGCAGCGGGCACGCGAGGUCAGCCAGGAGAAGGCGUUGUGCAGAGAGUUGGGAGGAGAGCGAGCGGCGUCGUGGCGAUCUCGCCGGCGACGGGAGGAGGACGACGAGCUGAGCCGAAGGAGGGCGAGGCGUCCACGUGCACGAGGCUCCCCGGCGGAUUGGGAAGACGGGGCGAGGCAUCUCCGACGGCGUGGGCUGUGCCGCCGGGUGCCGUGCUUCCUCAGAUUCAUGUUUGAGUCGCUUCCCUCGACGUCGACGGCUCUAUGAUCAGGUGUGUUCUCUUCCUGCUGUGUGGCUAUGCCGCCUCAUCCUCCAGGUACUAAGCCACGAUGAGAUGUAAGUGUACUGCAUAUCAUUGCCGCCUUCCACAUGUUCGACGGAAUGCCCAACCACAUUACUCACACAAAAUUCGAUGGAAAAAGGAAGCAACCUGGCUUAUUAGGGCCAUUAGGCAGUUAGCCUCCGCAUUAGCUGGGUCAGCCUUUUGAAUGGAAAGAUUGUCUACAUUUAAUGCUGAAGCUAAAUCUUCUGAAUCUAUGUUUGUUUGAUUUCCAGCAGCUAAUCCCGGUUUGAUGGCAGUCCCAGAAACUGGAAAAUUAGAAGGCUCGGCAACUAAAGCCCUCUUAAAUAGGUCCAGUUGCUUGGAGUCUCCGACAACACUUUCUGAGCCAGUAGACUGAAAGUGAGCAUACCAAUUUGCAAAUGCCAUAGUAGCUUCCAUUUGAUUUGUGCUUUGAGAACCUGUUUUUGUUCUAAAGGAAUCAAAGCCUUUCGAUGCAAUAUGCAUCUCUGAGCUACUGGAUUCAUGACUUCUGCUAUACUUUUCCUGCACUAUAGUAUGAGUUGGAGGAAGAGCAGAAGGGGUGGCAGCUAUCUCCUUUUUCCUUUCAAUGGAAAAUGAGUCCAGGUUAACACCAGGCAAAUUUAGUGUGCACGCAACUGAUGGUUGUUUGUUGCUUGUGGAACUUCCAGAUAUUUUCCUAUUCUCUAGGGAAAAGUAAGUUUUAACUCCAGAAGAUCAGAUAAGACCAACCCACUCUUUGGUGUCUCCUUACUUUUAUUUCAAUCCGUAGAGUCGCCAUCAAAUUCUGCGAGAGCCUGAAUUAGGGGCAAAACAACCAUCAGCUACAGAUAGCACCAGGGUUAAGAUUCAGAUAUCAGACUAUGUAUCCUGCAUACCAGGGUGACUUUUACAAUGAAUGAAUAGUACAAUUUAUUUUAAAGUGAUCUGGCAAUAUUUCCUACGAGGGAUCUGUCGCACGGCCCGCCCAGCUGCACCCGGCGUUCACCGAUGAGGUGGACGAGAUGCGGGUGCUGUCUGUGUGCGAUGACGACGGGAAGAGGUCGGUGAGGUACGGGUCCCCCGCCCGGCGCGAGGAGGAAUGAGGAGACGUGCCAGCAGACACGAGCACGUACAAGCAGCGGCGAACCACAGCAUCGGAUGGCGCCGCCCUGGGUUCGUCUUCGGCGGCGUAAUGAAGGGGCUGCAGCCUGGCAGAAGGUACUUCUACAAGAAUUUCAUAUCAGGGUGCGGCCCUCUAGAUAGGAAGGCAUGGAUUCAAUGGCGAAAACUUCUAUCAGGAUGGGGACUCUCUAGGCGGGAUGGCAUGGACCCAACAGCAAGGACAUCAAUCAUGAUGGAUUCAACCAGUCUGCUCGAUCAUUGGAUGACAUAAUAUGCUUAUGAUGUGGGUUAAUGGAGAAUUAACUACACAUGGAGGUUUGAGGAAGAGCUGGCUGGGCGAAUUCGUUGGUUGGCUCAACCGGCGAACGAUACAGACACUCCGGCAAGAUCGAGCCAACGGCUGGAGGAUUUCAGGGGAGAUCGUACUGUGACUAUAACAAGAGGCUAAGAUUUCACCUGCGCUGUAUGUGAAAAGCAGGUUCAGGAGCUCCAAGCCAACAAACACCAGGGCUUUGAAAAAGAUGUAAGAUUUCUACUUUCUAGCUUGUCACAAAAUUUGUUGUCGCCUGUUAUUUUGUAUGGCAGUCAGGCAUGUUAUAAGAAUGACCUAUAGACCUAUUGUUCAGUUUUGUUUGAGAUAGAAUACAAAUUAUGCGUAGUA